rnacentral:lncRNA from 1 species
CUAUAUACAACUGUGCGCGCAAGGGGAAAAGAAGAAUGAUUGGAUCCAUAUGUACUGACCGCUAAAAGCAAUGCCUGUGGAGGCAAUAACGCAGGUCUGAAUGACUGUAACUUCUUGGCGGGUCAAGGCCUGCUUCAAAAUGCCAGCUUUCUCCAGUGUUUUAGUCCAAGUCUUGACAAAGAAAAAUCCCAAUAGCCCAGCAGCAACAUUCAUUGGUGGUAUAAUACCAAGACUGAAGUAGAGUUUCAUCACUAUGAAGCAUAACAUUGCUGACAACACAAAACUCACCACAAAAGCUCUUAUAGUUAACUGUUUUGUCCAUGAAGGUACCUCCUCGUUCUCAAAUAUCCCACCUACUGACAAUUCUUCAUCUUCUGAUGUGAUAAUAUUUUCAUCAUGCAAUCCAACUCCACUCUCUACACUAUUUUCCCUUCCACUGUCCAUCUGUUCCCUCUGGAUUGAAACUUUAGACUGUCUAGGAAUUUUUCUUUGGCGGGUAGAUGGUUGAUUGAAGGAAUUGGAACGUAGUUAUAUGUAAAGAGUGGAAUCACAUAUUCUCAUCAAGCGCCUGAAGGGGAACGGAGCUAGCAACUUGCACACCACCACAUGCAUUUACAUUUCAUUUGACGUUGACAGAUGUGAUUUUGCCUUAAGCUUGUGUUUCGAUAUAUAUACAGUUUGCGUGUAUUGG